GGAAGUAGCGAUUGGCUUAGAGCGUCAACUGUCCACUCUAGCCAAUCAGCGGCACCCAUGCCUGACGUCAAUCUGCACUUCCUGACACUCUGUUUCAGAAGCCAAAUACCACUGAGCAACCUGGAGCUGGAGGAAGCCUUUGGGGUUAAACCAUUUGAGAGCGAUUUAACCCCUUAAAGGAAAGCAAGCACCCAGGGGCUUCCUGGCAUCAUAGCAUUUUCAUUUAGGUGAAGUUGUUAUGGUGACCAGAAUGGUCC